UUAAAAAUAAGCUAAAUUAAGCUUUUGGGUUCAUACCCCACUUAUAAAGGUAAUACCUUUUUUUUAAA
rnacentral:tRNA from 1 species